UGGAAGGUUACAGUAAUAACCUCACUGCUUUGUGUAUUUCCUACUUUGUGUUCAAGCUGAGAUGCCAGGUUUUGCUACAGCCCACUGUGUCCAGUACCACAAGUUGCAGAAUCCACAGCGACAAAGUACAAGUAUUGGGUUGUCUGGAUGCAGCUCAAGGCAGUAUAACCAUCGCCCUGGUCUCUCACAAUGUGCACAAAAUAGGCUGCCAUUGGAUAUAUCACAGACAAACUCCGACCAGAAUGAUGUAUUGGAUUCAGCGCCUAAUCAAGGUUUCGAAGAUGCAACCACACAAAGGGCCAGCAAUAAUGGGCAGCUUUUGAGAGGCAAGUCUA